GAUGAACGCUGGCGGCGUGCCUAAUACAUGCAAGUCGAGUGAACGGACGAGAAGCUUGCUUCUCUGGUGUUAGCGGCGGACGGGUGAGUAACACGUGGAUAACCUACCUAUAAGACUGGGAUAACUUCGGGAAACCGGAGCUAAUACCGGAUAAUAUUUUGAACCGCAUGGUUCAAAAGUGAAAGACGGUCUUGCUGUCACUUAUAGAUGGAUCCGCGCUGCAUUAGCUAGUUGGUAAGGUAACGGCUUACCAAGGCAACGAUGCAUAGCCGACCUGAGAGGGUGAUCGGCCACACUGGAACUGAGACACGGUCCAGACUCCUACGGGAGGCAGCAGUAGGGAAUCUUCCGCAAUGGGCGAAAGCCUGACGGAGCAACGCCGCGUGAGUGAUGAAGGUCUUCGGAUCGUAAAACUCUGUUAUUAGGGAAGAACAUAUGUGUAAGUAACUGUGCACAUCUUGACGGUACCUAAUCAGAAAGCCACGGCUAACUACGUG
rnacentral:rRNA from 1 species